GUGCUUCCUUCAGCAGCACAUACUAAAACCUGGAAUGAAACAGAGAAGAUUAGCACGGCCCCUGCGCAAGGAUGACAUGCAAUUUGUGAAGCGCUCUGUAUUUUU
ensembl:snRNA U6 U6 spliceosomal RNA